UACGGAGGAUGCGAGCGUUAUCCGGAUUUAUUGGGUUUAAAGGGUGCGUAGGCGGAUCGUUAAGUCAGAGGUCAAAUUGAGGGGCUCAACCCCUUCCCGCCAUUGAAACUGGCGCUCUUGAGUGGAAGAGAAGUAUGCGGAAUGCGUGGUGUAGCGGUGAAAUGCAUAGAUAUCACGCAGAACCCCGAUUGCGAAGGCAGCAUGCCGGCUUCCGACUGACGCUGAAGCACGAAAGCGUGGGGAUCGAACAGG
rnacentral:rRNA from 1 species